UACGGGGGGGGCAAGCGUUGUUCGGAAUUACUGGGCGUAAAGGGCUCGUAGGCGGCCCUCUCAGUCGGAUGUGAAAUCCCCAGGCUUAACCUGGGAACGGCAUCCGAUACUGGAGAGCUUGAAUUCGGGAGAGGGAUGCAGAAUUCCAGGUGUAGCGGUGAAAUGCGUAGAUAUCUGGAGGAAUACCGGUGGCGAAGGCGGCAUCCUGGACCGAGAUUGACGCUGAGGAGCGAAAGCUAGGGGAGCAAACGGG
rnacentral:rRNA from 1 species